rnacentral:rRNA from 1 species
UGGUAGUGUAUUGGACUACCAUGGCGAUCACGGGUAACGGGGAAUUAGGGUUCGAUUCCGGAGAGGGAGCCUGAGAAAUGGCUACCACAUCUAAGGAAGGCAGCAGGCGCGUAAAUUACCCAAUCCUAAUUCAGGGAGGUAGUGACAAGAAAUAACAACUCGGACCUCACACGAGGUUACGAGAUUGCAAUGAGAACAAUUUAAACCUCUUAUCGAGUAACAAUUGGAGGGCAAGUCUGGUGCCAGCAGCCGCGGUAAUUCCAGCUCCAAUAGCGUAUAUUAAAGUUGUUGCAGUUAAAAAGCUCGUAGUUGAAAAUCUGGCCGGUGCUGUUCUCGGCUCCCUGAGUCGGCUCAGCGCCUGGUCAUCCGUACGGGAAACUAGCUCGACCUUCACUGGUCGGCUAGUGGAUCGUACACUUUACUUUGAAAAAAUUAGAGUGUUUCAGGCAGGCAAUUGCUUGGAUACUGUAGCAUGGAAUAAUGGAAUAGGACUUUGACCUAUUUGUUGGUUUCUCGAGGUCAAAGUAAUGAUUAAUAGGGACAGUUGGGGGCAUUCGUAUUUAAUUGUCAGAGGUGAAAUUCUUGGAUUUUUUAAAGACGAACUUAUGCGAAAGCAUUUGCCAAGGAUGUUUUCAUUAAUCAAGAACGAAAGUUAGGGGAUCAAAGACGAUCAGA